GAUACCAUGUUCCUCUACUUUUGUUUUAAAGAAUCAGGUUCACUCCCAAGAAAAGCAUUGUUGGUUGCUACCUAUGCUUGGUGCUGAAAUUUCUUGCAAUAAAUACAUUUUAACCGAUAUACAACCAUCUAUUCCUGCAUUGCCUUUUAUUAGUACUAAUGUUUUGCAGGAUAGUGUUGACAAAUAUCGUGUACAUUCCGAUUGAGGAGCAUGCAUGCUUGCUGCAAUUUUUGUGCGAGAUGACACACUAGAAAAUUGGAAAUAUGGUCACAUCCCC
rnacentral:lncRNA from 1 species